AUUGAACGCUGGCGGAAUGCUUUACACAUGCAAGUCGAACGGUAGAGGGGGCAACCCCUUGAGAGUGGCGAACGGGUGAGUAAUAUAUCGGAACGUGCCCAGUCGUGGGGAUAACGUAGCGAAAGCUACGCUAAUACCGCAUACGAUCUAUGGAUGAAAGCGGGGGAUCGCAAGACCUCGCGCGAUUGGAGCGGCCGAUAUCAGAUUAGGUAGUUGGUGAGGUAAAGGCUCACCAAGCCGACGAUCUGUAGCUGGUCUGAGAGGACGACCAGCCACACUGGGACUGAGACACGGCCCAGACUCCUACGGGAGGCAGCAGUGGGGAAUUUUGGACAAUGGGCGCAAGCCUGAUCCAGCAAUGCCGCGUGCAGGAUGAAGGCCUUCGGGUUG
rnacentral:rRNA from 1 species